rnacentral:rRNA from 1 species
CUACGGGCCGCAGCAGUCGAGAAUCUUCCGCAAUGGACGAAAGUCUGACGGAGCGACGCCGCGUGCGGGAUGAAGGCCUUCGGGUUGUAAACCGCUGUCAGUGGGGAGGAAAUGCAUCAGGGUUCUCCCUGGUGUUUGACCGAUCCGCAGAGGAAGCGCAGGCUAAGUUCGUGCCAGCAGCCGCGGUAACACGAACUGCGCGAACGUUAUUCGGAAUCACUGGACUUAAAGAGUUCGUAGGCGGCCUUUCAAGUCGGGUGUGAAAUCCCUCGGCUCAACCGAGGAAUUGCGCCUGAUACUGUUGGGCUUGAGGGGGAUAGGGGUGAGCGGAACUGAUGGUGGAGCGGUGAAAUGCGUUGAUAUCAUCAGGAACACCGGUGGCGAAGGCGGCUCACUGGAUCUCUUCUGACGCUGAGGAACGAAAGCUAGGGGAGCGAACGGGAUUAGAUACCCGCGUAGUC